rnacentral:rRNA from 1 species
UACGUAGGGCGCAAGCGUUAUCCGGAAUUAUUGGGCGUAAAGAGCUCGUAGGCGGUUUGUCGCGUCUGCCGUGAAAGUCCGGGGCUCAACUCCGGAUCUGCGGUGGGUACGGGCAGACUAGAGUGAUGUAGGGGAGACUGGAAUUCCUGGUGUAGCGGUGAAAUGCGCAGAUAUCAGGAGGAACACCUAUGGCGAAGGCAGCUCGCUGGGACGGUACUGACGCUGAGACGCGAAAGCGUGGGGAGCGAACAGG